AAUAGAAAGUAAUUAAGGGCGUAUGGCGGAUGCCUAGGCUCACGGAGGCGAUGAAGGACGUGAUAAGCUGCGAUAAGCCUCGGGUAGAUGCAAAUAAUCUUUGAUCCGAGGAUUUCCGAAUGGGACAACCUGACUGUCUGAAUGAUAGUCACCCAUAUAUUUUUUAUGGGAGCAAACGCAGGGAACUGAAACAUCUUAGUACCUGUAGGAAAAGAAAAUAAUUUAAUGAUUCCCCUAGUAGUGGCGAGCGAACGGGGAAAAGCCCAAACCUAUGACGUAGCAAUGCGUGAUAGGGGUAGUAGGGUCACGAUAUCGUACUUUGAAAGUGAGGAGAAUGUUCUGGAAAGUUCAAUAAUAUAAGGUGAUAAUCCUGUAUCCGAAGCUUGAUGAGGCGUAGUGAAUCCCUGAGUAGUGCGGAGCACGAGUAAUUCUGCAUGAAUCUGCCGGGACCAUCCGGUA
rnacentral:rRNA from 1 species